AUAUCAUGCUGAACACAGUCUGAGUGCUGAGCUGUGAUAGGCUGGAGGCCGUCACCUGACCGCACCCACCUCCUCGUCCAUCUCCCGCUGUCAGCACGCACAGCAUCUCCUCCGUUACCUGGAAGGAGACGGCGCCCCGGUGAGUCGGUUCGACCCUCGCGACACUCGAAGAUGGACAGAAGCUCCUACGGUGCACAACACAGCAGCAAUACACAAACGCAUAUUACGAACAAGAGAUCCAGACGUCCAGGAUCCACGGCCCCCAGCUCCCCCAGACACUCCCCACAGAGGAGCCUGGCCUCCGGGGACGAGUCCUGGCAGCCCUUCAGCAGCACCGACACCAGGCUGGAGAUGACCGGCUCCACCGCCUCACUCGCACAAACGUGCUGCAGCAGCCACUCCUGCAGUCCGUGCAACAUAAUAAAAACUAAAAUAUAUAUUGUAUGGUAAAGAACAUUAUGGUUUUCCAGGACCGUUGGACCCCUGAGUGUUUGUGUACCUGCUUGCUGUGCAUCAUGUCCCUGAGGCUGGUCAGCGCGUGAAUCCUGAC